rnacentral:rRNA from 1 species
UACGUAGGGGGCAAGCGUUGUCCGGAUUUAUUGGGCGUAAAGAGCGUGUAGGCGGCCUGAAAGGUCAGCUGUGAAAACUCGGGGCUCAACCCCGAGACGUCGGUUGAAACCAUCUGGCUAGAGUCCGGAAGAGGAGUGUGGAAUUCCCGGUGUAGCGGUGAAAUGCGCAGAUAUCGGGAAGAACACCCGUGGCGAAGGCGGCUCUCUGGGACGGUACUGACGCUGAGACGCGAAAGCGUGGGGAGCGAACAGG